AUUUUUGUUUAUAUUUUCUUUUUAAAUAUUUCAACGAAGGGAAAACUCUCUAAAUUUUUGUAAUGCCUUCCAUAGUUUAUGCAACAUUAAAGGAAUGAUAUGGUACAUAAUAUGUUUAUUUAGUUUUUUUUUACACAUUUAAAUUAAAUAAAAAUAUAUUUGGUCAAAAAAUAGUGUGUGUGAAUGUCAAAUACAUGGUUAUCAAUAAAAUAAAAUCAAUUGGUUUUGUCAAAAAAAAAUAUCAAUUGGUUUGAAUUACUGCGAUUUUGUUUCUAAGAUCAAAUGUAUUGAUUGAUGAAUAUUAAUGUACAAUAUUAUUUUUUUCGUUAUUGUUUGCAUGAAUCAAACACUUGAUUAUUUUGUUUAUUUUAUGUCUUUGAUUAUAAAUAUCGAUUUUGACUCCCACACUUUUCACACCACUCUAUAUUCACAAUUCAUAUUAUUAAAAGUUUUUCUAUGAACUUCUAUUUUCUCUUUUUGUUACAAUGUCAAGUUUUUACACAUUUCUCUUAUUAAUUUCCAUGACUCAUAUAUUGUAAAGACUUAUUUGAUAUAUGUAAGAAUCAUGAGUUUCGGUAAUUCAUAUUAUUUAAAAAGUCUUUUCAAAGUUUGUUUUUCUUUUUUUUAACAAAUACAAUGUAGUUUUUCUUCUUCGGUAUAAAGUUGCGUUGUUGAAUAUUUUAUAAUUUUUUUGUUUGUUUUGGCUCUUUAACUUGCAGACAUAAUUCAUGAAUAAACAAUAUUCAGGAAGAUUGAAUUAUGGGAAGAAAGAAGGAGUAUAGUUGAGAUCCAAAGAGGGCAAAAGACAAACGUGCUUCUGUAUUCUUUUAAUCGGGACUUUUCCUUUGGCAUGAAAGAGAUUAUGAUGAAAGCAGCUAUACUACCAUUCCAGUUGUAAGAUAUAUAAUCAGAGUAAAACCUAUUUACUAGUUGACUACUUUACCUUAACUAUAGAGUAAAUAAUCGUAAUUAUUGUUUAUUAGGGUAUUAAAUUAUUUUGAUUUCUAUUGAUUUACAUUUAUUAAUGUAUAUCUUUUUCAUUAAUGUGCCUGUUUUUGUUUUUAGAGAAUUAAAUAUAUAUUAAUGAUGUAAUUGUAUUAUUAUCUUUUUUAAAUAAAGGAAAAUAUAUUAAAUAAAAGCGAGUAUAAAAGUUGGGAGUACAUUAGUAAACUAAUGUAACACUCAAGAACAUAGAAAAAUCAUACAAUUAUAGAAAUAUAAUACAACAAGAUUAUGAGGAAGAAUUGAAUGAUACCGAAAAUUAAAUUUAAGCAAUAAACCCAUUAAUUAUUUAAAUUCCAAUUUUAUUUUUUUCUAAAAAAAUUAUCUUCAAAAAAAUCAAAGUACAUCAUGUCUUUUAUUUUUUUUUUAUUACCUUAUGUCUUAUAGUAGGAUUUGAUUCUCUACAUUGAAAAUUCUGUCAAAUUUUCUCAAGUGUAUUCUUUAUCUUUAUUAUAUACAUUUGCGCUAUUUUUUUUAAAAGUACACGUGGCAACCUAUUAGUGAAAGGAUCAUUUAAUGUUAUCUCUCAUUUACACACAAGAUAUGAAAGAGUUUAUAAUAUAUAUAUAAAAAAAAAAAAAAAAAAAGAGGAAUUGAAAUUUGAUGAGUUAAGAGAAAAUGUUGUGUGCAAAAAGUCAUAAUUUGAGAGGAGUAUUUAAUGCAGCAAUGUUUUCUUUUAUGUACACAAUAAAUAUGAAAAGUUUAUAAUAGAAAUAACAAUCAAUCCAGAAGUCCUAGUUCAACUGGCAAAAAUGCCGAAAUUGUUAGGCCGGAUGCCAUGACCGGGGUUCGAACCCCGGUACCUCCACUUGUGUGUGUGAGUUUAUAAUGGCUUUGCCAUUUCGUCUAUCUACCAAAAAAAAAAAAAAAACAAUCAUAAUUUGGUGAAUUAACCUAAAAUGUUAUCUCUAUUUGAUAGGAGUAUUUAAUACACCAUGAUUUUAAUCAAAAGUUUACAUAUGAAAUUAGUUUGAUGCGCUUAAUUUAGGAGUUUAAUUUGCCAUAUGUGUUGCACGUAAUUGAUGGAAGGAAACAUGUAUUGCAUAUGCAUAGUGCAAAUAGGUCAACGGAAAACUUAUGAUUGGUAAGCUUUAAAAAAAACAAAAAAAAAAAAACAUUAAUAUAUUUUGCUUAAUAGUUAAGAUAUGAGUUCAAAUUUUUUUUAACCCCAAUUUGAACUUCCUUACUCCUUCGUUAGAGAUAUGAACAAGGACAAACUUCCUUACUCCUUGAAGAUGGUUCUAAUGGACAAUAAGGUUGUUUAACCCCAAUUUUUUGUUUUUUAUAUUUUUAUAUACGCUUUUAUAUUAGAUCGUUUUUUUUGUUCGUCUGUCUUUUGUAACAUACGACAACCCAUUCUCAUUUAAUGUUUUCUUAUCAUCCAAUCAAAUUGAAUUGAUUCAUUUAUUUUUUUAUUAGGCUAUCAAGAUGGACCAUGACUCAUUUAGUUUUCACCAACCAAUCAAAAUUGAUUACGCAAUGAUUUUAACACUUUAUUUUCAUUAUUUUCAUGUGUCUCUUUCCCCCAUAAAUUUUUUCGUAAAAACAAGUAUUUUAUGUGUUUUAAAAGCAUAUAAAGUUAAUCACUUGGUUGUCAAUUAUGGGGUUGAUUUUAUUUUUUAUUUGUAUCUAAUUGUUUAUUGUUAAUGCUACUUUAUCAGGGUUCCAUUGGAGAGCAUGUGUCUACGUUCUACGACUUCAAGAUGUUCAACAUCAACAAUAUAAUUUUUAGUCAAGGCAAUGUUUUGUAUUUGAUAUAGGAUCAAUAUGUUAGAGUUUAGAUAUCUUAGGUUAAUUUUUAAUGAAUUGAUAUUUCGAAAAGCUAAUCUCAAUAAAUUGAUUUUGCUUUUAUCUAUAUUUAUUUUAUGAAUAUUUGUCUUGCACAAUGGGUAUAUUACACAUGAAAUCUUAUUUGAUGAAUCUUAAUUGAUGCUUUUAAACACAUCUUCGGAC
rnacentral:lncRNA from 1 species